GAGAGUUAUCAAGGACACCAUGAUGACAGGCACAUCAUUGAAACUCUCUCUGGCCAUUGUGUGUGGAAGAGGGGCAGGAGGAAGACUGGCAUAGCAAGAUUCCCAGAAUUCUCUGAUGUUCAAAGGACAUUUAUAAACCUUGGUGAGAAGAGUGCGUAACAAGGACACAAAGGAGGAAACCAAGUGCCCGCAGGUGAUUUUAUAAACUUCCCUUGGCAAAUAUUACCAGUCUUCCUCCCCUUCAGAGCACAUGGAAGACUGUACUGUCAAGCCCCUGCCUGUUCAACAGGAACAUAUGACUGUUUUUGGCAAGUGAAAUUAUAAGAGGAGAGAUGGUAAAAACUCAUGCAUCCUUCUCCAUUCUCUGUGUCCUGCCAUGGGACCAAGGAUGCCAUGUGUUCCAGAGGGUAUUGCUACAAGCUGGUGGAGCUGCUGACUGAAUCCCUGAAUGAUCACAUGGAGCAAAGCCCCUGAGCAUCCAUGUGAGCAGUGUUGUGUAAGACAAAAGCAUAUUUUGCCAUUUAGAUUUUGGACUUCUUACUAUUGAAUAACUUAGCCCAUCCUGACUAAUAUAUAUCUUAUUAUGAAGAGUUUAGCUAUUUACACUCCUUAUCUAAACCUCUUUUAAUUACAUCUCAAUUUUUGGUUAAGCCCAUCAUCACUGUUUUCAAUUUAAUGAUCAUGUAAAGAUUGUUCACUGCUGAGCUACACAGUAUUUUAUGAUUAAA
rnacentral:lncRNA from 10 species